rnacentral:rRNA from 1 species
AUUGAACGCUGGCGGCAGGCCUAACACAUGCAAGUCGAGCGGAUGAAGGGAGCUUGCUCCUGGAUUCAGCGGCGGACGGGUGAGUAAUGCCUAGGAAUCUGCCUGGUAGUGGGGGAUAACGUCCGGAAACGGGCGCUAAUACCGCAUACGUCCUGAGGGAGAAAGUGGGGGAUCUUCGGACCUCACGCUAUCAGAUGAGCCUAGGUCGGAUUAGCUAGUUGGUGGGGUAAAGGCCUACCAAGGCGACGAUCCGUAACUGGUCUGAGAGGAUGAUCAGUCACACUGGAACUGAGACACGGUCCAGGCUCCUACGGGAGGCAGCAGUGGGGAAUAUUGGACAAUGGGCGAAAGCCUGAUCCAGCCAUGCCGCGUGUGUGAAGAAGGUCUUCGGAUUGUAAAGCACUUUAAGUUGGGAGUAAGGGCAGUAAGUUAAUACCUUGCUGUUUUGACGUUACCGACAGAAUAAGCACCGGCUAACUUCGUG